AUUGAACGCUGGCGGCAGGCCUAACACAUGCAAGUCGAACGAGUGGCGGACGGGUGAGUAAUGUCUGGGAAACUGCCUGAUGGAGGGGGAUAACUACUGGAAACGGUAGCUAAUACCGCAUACCAUCAGAUGUGCCCAGAUGGGAUUAGCUUGUUGGGGGGGUAACGGCUCACCAAGGCGACGAUCCCUAGCUGGUCUGAGAGGAUGACCAGCCACACUGGAACGGAUAACCGGCCCGGACUCCUACGGGAGGCAGCAUUGGGGAAUAUUGCACAAUGGGGGAAAGCCUGACGCAGCCAUGCCGCGUGGAGGAAGAGGUCCUUCGGGCUGUAAAGUACUUUCAGCGGGGAGGCGUUACCCGAAGAAGAAGCACCGGCUAACUCCGUGCCAGCAGCCGCGGUAAUAC
rnacentral:rRNA from 1 species